GUCUGUGUGUGUGUGUACAUAGGGGUUCUAGUCUGUCGACUGUGUGUGUGUGUGUGUGUACAUAGGGGUUCUAGUCUGUCGACUGUGUGUGUGUGUGUGUGUGUACAUAGGGGUUCUAGUCUAUCUGUCGACUGUGUGUGUGUGUGUGUACAUAGGGGUUCUAGUCUGUCGACUGUGUGUGUGUGUAGGGGGGUUCUAGUCUGUCGACUGUGUGUGUGUGUGUGUGUACAUAGGGGUUCUAGUCUGUCGACUGUGUGUGUGUGUGUACAUAGGGGUUCUAGUCUGUCGACUGUGUGUGUGUGUACAUAGGGGUUCUAGUCUGUCGACUGUGUGUGUGUGUACAUAGGGGUUCUAGUCUGUCGACUGUGUGUGUGUGUACAUAGGGGUUCUAGUCUGUCGACUGUGUGUGUGUG
ensembl:lncRNA